GGCUUAGAGUUUGAUCAUGGCUCAGAGUGAACGCUGGCGGCGAGCCUAAUACAUGCAAGUCGAACGAUGAAGCUUUUAGCUUGCUAGAAGUGGAUUAGUGGCGCACGGGUGAGUAAUGCAUAGGUUAUGUGCCCUUUAGUCUGGGAUAGCCACUGGAAACGGUGAUUAAUACUAGAUACUCCCUACGGGGGAAAGUUUUUCGCUAAAGGAUCAGCCUAUGUCCUAUCAGCUUGUUGGUGAGGUAAUGGCUCACCAAGGCUAUGACGGGUAUCCGGCCUGAGAGGGUGAUCGGACACACUGGAACUGAGACACGGUCCAGACUCCUACGGGAGGCAGCAGUAGGGAAUAUUGCUCAAUGGGGGAAACCCUGAAGCAGCAACGCCCGCGUGGAGGAUGAAGGUUUUCGGAUUGUAAACUCCUUUUGUUAGAGAAGAUAAUGACGGUAUCUAACGAAUAAGCACCGGCUAACUCCGUGCCAGCAGCCGCGGUAAUACGGAGGGUGCAAGCGUUACUCGGAAUCACUGGGCGUAAAGAGCGCGUAGGCGGGGUAGUAAGUCAGAUGUGAAAUCCUAUGGCUUAACCGUAGAACUGCAUUUGAAACUACUACUCUAGAGUAUGGGAGAGGUAGGGUGGAAUUUCUUGG
rnacentral:rRNA from 1 species